CAGUCAGGUAGGAUAAUCCUUACCUAUUCCUCCUUUUGGAGGGAAGAUUGGAACAUGAUGAUGGGAGUUCACAGGACUCAGGGAUUAGCAUCUCUGCAUAAUCAAGACUUGCAACACCCUGAUUGUAAAAUAAA